CUCCAGACAGCUGGCUCAGCCUAAUCGACCAGAGCAAUGCGACACCUAUACCAACUUGAUACCAACCUACUUGGCGGGGUGGUGAAUUCAUGAAGUGCGAAUGCGAAACAUGGCAAUAGAUGGCGGAACAAACAGCAUGGGGAACGCUGGGACACGCAUUGAGGAAUGAAAUCCGUCACUUCCCAGAUUUCGAACGCAUCCUUAGAGUGCAUUACUUUUAUGUGCUUGCGUUCGGUCUUGGGAUUUCUCAGCAGAUGUCGCCAACAGUAGAGAGAUUGAUCUAGAAUGUCUCGUUAUCGGAAAAGUAUGGUAGCCAUACACCAAAUGGUUUUUGCGUUUAGCUACCAUAUUACUUCCGAUAUGACUGUUGACAUCACUGCCGAUAUGACGGAGCAGUGCAUUGGCAAUAUGCCAAGGGCAGUAACAUGCCGUCAGUCACGUCAGUCAUCGGUCUUGGCUAUCUGUAAGAAUCUUGGCAGGAAUCUUGGCCUUUUCUUGGACCCAUAGCCUCGGCCUUCGACCAAUCAUAUCGCCGAAUUCGCAAGCGGUGAGAGACAAAUACGGCGUGCCAAAGACAUAUUGGGUGUCUCAAAAUCACUGAGAACUCUGUAGCUCAAAACUUAAGCCCUGCACUCUUUUAGAUCUACCCCGUUGAGUGGCAUUCUUGUGAAAAUUAUGUAAAGAUAUUUAUCAGAAUAAGGUAGAAGUGUAGGGGGUGGCAGGUGAGGUGCAGAAGAAGAAGAAGAAGAAGAAGUUGUACCUAUCCAGUAAUUUUAUCUUGAUUUGUGGACUAGACGAAGACUAGAUUUUGAUGAAGAAAUCGACAAACUUGAACUGCAGGACUCGUGGCGCUGCUCGCCUCCUCGCCAAUGCGAAUGCGUUCUCUGAGGACAACCCGCCCAAGGCUACCAUGGCGAAGCCACGCCACCGCGCCGGCUAUAGACUCACGGCCUGAAGCGAGUUUGGGCGCGACGGCUGGCGAGCCAAGGCGGCGGAAAGUCGUCUGGCGGAGCUCCCGUCUGAGGCGAGCUUGAUCUGGUCAGACAGCUCCGCCACCGAUGGUGUGCUAGAUGGAGGAGGAGGGGCCACCCCCCCCCCCCCGAACCGCGACAUCCGAGAGGUGCGUGUCGCGGCAGGCGCCCUCUGCUCUAGCACGCGCGGCGAGCUAUUCGCCCUAAGAGCGGUGUUGGAGGAGCUGGCCGGACGGAUGGUACCGGUCGAUAUGGGUCGACCGCCGUCUAUCCGGUCCAUUCUGCUGUUCCAGCUCCAGGACCGGCCGCGCCGUCGCCACCCGUCCGGCGUCAGUGGAGGACCGCUCAUCAGCUGUCGAUUUUCAUCAGUUUCGCUUGGACCACUGGUCGGGCUCCUGCCAGUGCCGACAUUGGGUUGGGCGGAGUCCUACCGAUGAAUGCCGCGAGUGCUGCAACAUUGGCUCGGUACAUCUCGGUACAUUUUUCCGAGUCUGGUGUGGCUACGGGGAGACGGAUUUGGUGACCCUGGCUGCCGCCGUGAGAACCAUCCAGAACCGUACGGCUAUGCUGCGGCAGCAGCUGAAAGGAACGCAACAACAAUAACUACAACAGCAGCUGCUAAUGAAAGGGGAAAUCAUGGAGCCGGAUGACCCGGCACAUGGCGCUCAGCCAGCUGAGAAUGAGAGCAGCUAUCAAAUCGCCAGCAGGGUGCUGCGGCUGGUAACUGACGACCUUAACAGAGAGAGCGCCUCCGCUGAUGCGGAUGAAACUACCCCCUCUCGGGUUUGUUUGACGCCGUCUCCGUCGACUCUUUCGCCUGGGCCGGCUGGCGACCGCGACAUUUCUUGUGCAGUGACUCGUAACUAUGUUCACCAAACUUUUAAAACUCCUCACGUUAGCAUCUUUAAAGAAUGUUUCCCUUGUACACUGCUGCAAUGUCUUAUGUAGGCAUAUUGUAGGUACAGUCUAAACGAGUGUGGAAUGCUUUGUUGUGCUUGCUCGUUCUGUAUUUCGUUUGCUAUUUAUCACGGUGACUAUAAUUUAUUUUGACCAACCCUUGCCUUGUUGCAAUUUUAGUGGAUGGUUUCUGAACUGCUGUUUGCAUUAUAGAUGUUCCUAGUGCGUAGACGCCAAAGAUUACUUUAUACCUAUUGACGCGCCAGAUAAAGGAGGUGAAGUAUUCCUCUGAUCUCUACCUACGAAAUUCCUUUAUGUGUGUUUUGUAAUCGAUAUUGGCGGUUUUCUUAUGUGAUGCGGUGUAGAGCGUGGCUGAGGAAGGCGAUGUUUAAAGUUGCUAGUUAUUUUUCAAUACAUCUAUGAUCGGACUGUCGUGCUUGCUGUAGGUCGGACUUCCGUUCUUGAUGGUGAUUGGACGCACGUGCCGGUAGUUCACAACAAUGCGGCUUUCGAUUAUAGUAUAGAUUUAGAUGC